rnacentral:tRNA from 1 species
GUCCGUAGUGCUAGUUGGUAAAGGCAGAACUCUAGAUGCUGAGGUCAUGGGUUCGACUCCCAUCAGACA